rnacentral:lncRNA from 1 species
GGUCUACUAUAUUUGGUGUAUGGAAUGAUUGUAAGGUGUACAUGUCUAGCUGACAGGUGUCAUCUGAUCUUGACCUCAUUUUCAUGGUUCAGUGGUCAAAGUUAAGUUUUUGAGUUUUGGUCUAUUUUUCUAAUACUAUAUGCAUUAGUUCAACUAUAUUUGGUGUAUGGAAAUAUUUUAUGAUCUAUAUGUCAGUUGCGCAGGUUUUAUUUGACCUUGACCUCAUUUUCACGGUUCUUUGCUAAGUGUUAAGUGUUUGUGUUUUGGUCUGUUUUUCUUAAUUUAUAAGCAAUAGGUCAACUAUAUUUGUUGUAAUGAAGAAUUGUUAGCUGUACAUGUCUGUCUGGCAUGGUUCAUCUGACCUUGACCUCAUUUUCAUGGUUCAUUGAUCAAUGUUUCGUUUUCUUGGUUAAUGUUGAGUUUAUGUGACAGUUGUAAUAAAGCUUUAUAUUUAAGACUAUCAACAUAAUAUCAAUGAUUAGUAUAGAAGGCGAGAC